rnacentral:rRNA from 1 species
GACGAACGCUGGCGGCGUGCCUAAUACAUGCAAGUCGAACGAGAGCAACCGGUGCUUGCCCUGGUCAAUCUAGUGGCGAACGGGUGAGUAACACGUGGGUAACCUGCCCAUCAGAGGGGGAUAACAUCCGGAAACGGGUGCUAAAACCGCAUAGGUCUUCGAACCGCAUGGUUUGAAGAGGAAAAGAGGCGCAAGCUUCUGCUUAUGGAUGGACCCGCGGUGCAUUAGCUAGUUGGUGAGGUAACGGCUCACCAAGGCCGUGAUGCAUAGCCGACCUGAGAGGGUGAUCGGCCACAUUGGGACUGAGACACGGCCCAAACUCCUACGGGAGGCAGCAGUAGGGAAUCUUCCGCAAUGGACGCAAGUCUGACGGAGCAACGCCGCGUGAGUGAAGAAGGUUUUCGGAUCGUAAAACUCUGUUGUUAGAGAAGAACAAGUGCUAGAGUAACUGUUAGCGCCUUGACGGUAUCUAACCAGAAAGCCACGGCUAACUACGUG